GACGAACGCUGGCGGCGUGCUUAACACAUGCAAGUCAAGGGGGGGUAGCAAUACUCAACCGGCGAACGGGUGCGUAACACGUGAGCGACCUACCUUGUGGCGGGGGAUAGCCGGCCCAACGGCCGGGUAAUACCGCAUACGCUCUUUGCUGGGCAUCUGGUGAAGAGGAAACUUACGAGGCCAGGAGAGGGGCUCGCGGCCUAUCAGCUAGUUGGCGGGGUAAUGGCCCACCAAGGCGGUGACGGGUAGCUGGUCUGAGAGGAUGGCCAGCCACAUU
rnacentral:rRNA from 1 species